AUUGAACGCUGGCGGCAGGCCUAACACAUGCAAGUCGAACGAGUGGCGGACGGGUGAGUAAUGUCUGGGAAACUGCCUGAUGGAGGGGGAUAACUACUGGAAACGGUAGCUAAUACCGCAUACCAUCAGAUGUGCCCAGAUGGGAUUAGCUAGUUGGUGGGGUAACGGCUACCAAAGGCGACGAUGCCUAGCUGGUCUGAGAGGAUGACCGGCCACACUGGAAUGGAGACACGGUCCAGACUCCUACGGGAGGCAGCAGUGGGGAAUAUUGCACAAUGGGCGCAAGCCUGAUGCAGCAAUGCCGCGUGGAGGAAGAAGGCCUUCGGGUUUUAAAGUACGUUCAGCGGGGAGGCGUUACCCGCAGAAGAAGCACCGGCUAACUCCGUGCCAGCAGCCGCGGUAAUUC
rnacentral:rRNA from 1 species